rnacentral:rRNA from 1 species
UAAGGGCGCACGGUGGAUGCCUUGGCACUAGAAGCCGAUGAAGGACGUUACUAACGACGAUAUGCUUUGGGGAGCUGUAAGUAAGCUUUGAUCCAGAGAUUUCCGAAUGGGGAAACCCAGCAUGAGUUAUGUCAUGUUAUCGAUAUGUGAAUACAUAGCAUAUCAGAAGGCACACCCGGAGAACUGAAACAUCUUAGUACCCGGAGGAAGAGAAAGAAAAUUCGAUUCCCUUAGUAGCGGCGAGCGAAACGGGAAGAGCCCAAACCAACAAGCUUGCUUGUUGGGGUUGUAGGACACUCUAUACGGAGUUACAAAGGACGACAUUAGACGAAUCAUCUGGAAAGAUGAAUCAAAGAAGGUAAUAAUCCUGUAGUCGAAAAUGUUGUCUCUCUUGAGUGGAUCCUGAGUACGACGGAGCACGUGAAAUUCCGUCGGAAUCUGGGAGGACCAUCUCCUAAGGCUAAAUACUCUCUAGUGACCGAUAGUGAACCAGUACCGUGAGGGAAAGGUGAAAAGCACCCCGGAAGGGGAGUGAAAUAGAACCUGAAACCGUGUGCUUACAAGUAGUCAGAGCCCGUUAAUGGGUGAUGGCGUGCCUUUUGUAGAAUGAACCGGCGAGUUACGAUUUGAUGCAAGGUUAAGCAGUAAAUGUGGAGCCGUAGCGAAAGCGAGUCUGAAUAGGGCGUUUAGUAUUUGGUCGUAGACCCGAAACCAGGUGAUCUACCCUUGGUCAGGUUGAAGUUCAGGUAACACUGAAUGGAGGACCGAACCGACUUACGUUGAAAAGUGAGCGGAUGAACUGAGGGUAGCGGAGAAAUUCCAAUCGAACCUGGAGAUAGCUGGUUCUCUCCGAAAUAGCUUUAGGGCUAGCCUCAAGUGAUGAUUAUUGGAGGUAGAGCACUGUUUGGACGAGGGGCCCCUCUCGGGUUACCGAAUUCAGACAAACUCCGAAUGCCAAUUAAUUUAACUUGGGAGUCAGAACAUGGGUGAUAAGGUCCGUGUUCGAAAGGGAAACAGCCCAGACCACCAGCUAAGGUCCCAAAAUAUAUGUUAAGUGGAAAAGGAUGUGGCGUUGCCCAGACAACUAGGAUGUUGGCUUAGAAGCAGCCAUCAUUUAAAGAGUGCGUAAUAGCUCACUAGUCGAGUGACACUGCGCCGAAAAUGUACCGGGGCUAAACAUAUUACCGAAGCUGUGGAUUGUCCUUUGGACAAUGGUAGGAGAGCGUUCUAAGGGCGUUGAAGCAUGAUCGUAAGGACAUGUGGAGCGCUUAGAAGUGAGAAUGCCGGUGUGAGUAGCGAAAGACGGGUGAGAAUCCCGUCCACCGAUUGACUAAGGUUUCCAGAGGAAGGCUCGUCCGCUCUGGGUUAGUCGGGUCCUAAGCUGAGGCCGACAGGCGUAGGCGAUGGAUAACAGGUUGAUAUUCCUGUACCACCUAUAAUCGUUUUAAUCGAUGGGGGGACGCAGUAGGAUAGGCGAAGCGUGCGAUUGGAUUGCACGUCUAAGCAGUAAGGCUGAGUAUUAGGCAAAUCCGGUACUCAUUAAGGCUGAGCUGUGAUGGGGAGAAGACAUUGUGUCUUCGAGUCGUUGAUUUCACACUGCCGAGAAAAGCCUCUAGAUAGAAAAUAGGUGCCCGUACCGCAAACCGACACAGGUAGUCAAGAUGAGAAUUCUAAGGUGAGCGAGCGAACUCUCGUUAAGGAACUCGGCAAAAUGACCCCGUAACUUCGGGAGAAGGGGUGCUCUUUAGGGUUAACGCCCAGAAGAGCCGCAGUGAAUAGGCCCAAGCGACUGUUUAUCAAAAACACAGGUCUCUGCUAAACCGUAAGGUGAUGUAUAGGGGCUGACGCCUGCCCGGUGCUGGAAGGUUAAGAGGAGUGGUUAGCUUCUGCGAAGCUACGAAUCGAAGCCCCAGUAAACGGCGGCCGUAACUAUAACGGUCCUAAGGUAGCGAAAUUCCUUGUCGGGUAAGUUCCGACCCGCACGAAAGGCGUAACGAUUUGGGCACUGUCUCAACGAGAGACUCGGUGAAAUCAUAGUACCUGUGAAGAUGCAGGUUACCCGCGACAGGACGGAAAGACCCCGUGGAGCUUUACUGUAGCCUGAUAUUGAAAUUCGGCACAGCUUGUACAGGAUAGGUAGGAGCCUUUGAAACGUGAGCGCUAGCUUACGUGGAGGCGCUGGUGGGAUACUACCCUAGCUGUGUUGGCUUUCUAACCCGCACCACUUAUCGUGGUGGGAGACAGUGUCAGGCGGGCAGUUUGACUGGGGCGGUCGCCUCCUAAAAGGUAACGGAGGCGCUCAAAGGUUCCCUCAGAAUGGUUGGAAAUCAUUCAUAGAGUGUAAAGGCAUAAGGGAGCUUGACUGCGAGACCUACAAGUCGAGCAGGGUCGAAAGACGGACUUAGUGAUCCGGUGGUUCCGCAUGGAAGGGCCAUCGCUCAACGGAUAAAAGCUACCCCGGGGAUAACAGGCUUAUCUCCCCCAAGAGUUCACAUCGACGGGGAGGUUUGGCACCUCGAUGUCGGCUCAUCGCAUCCUGGGGCUGUAGUCGGUCCCAAGGGUUGGGCUGUUCGCCCAUUAAAGCGGUACGCGAGCUGGGUUCAGAACGUCGUGAGACAGUUCGGUCCCUAUCCGUCGUGGGCGUAGGAAAUUUGAGAGGAGCUGUCCUUAGUACGAGAGGACCGGGAUGGACAUACCU